GCGACCGGCGCACGGGUGCGUAACGCGUAUGCAACCUACCUUAUACUGGGGUAUAGCCCGGAGAAAUUCGGAUUAAUCCCCCAUAGUAUUAUAGAUUGGCAUCAAUUAAUAAUUAAAGUUCCAACGGUAUAAGAUGGGCAUGCGUCCUAUUAGCUAGAUGGUGGGGUAAUGGCUCACCAUGGCUACGAUAGGUAGGGGGCCUGAGAGGGUAGUCCCCCACACUGGUACUGAGACACGGACCAGACUCCUACGGGAGGCAGCAGUGAGGAAUAUUGGUCAAUGGGCGCAAGCCUGAACCAGCCAUGCCGCGUGAAGGAAGAAGGUUCUAUGGAUUGUAAACUUCUUUUAUUUAGGAAUAAACCUCUCGACGUGUCGGGAGCUGAAGGUACUAAAUGAAUAAGCACCGGCUAACUCCGUGCCAGCAGCCGCGGUAAUACGGAGGGUGCAAGCGUUAUCCGGAAUCACUGGGUUUAAAGGGUCCGCAGGCGGAUUUAUAAGUCAGUGGUGAAAUCCUGCAGCUCAACUGCAGAACUGCCAUUGAUACUGUAAGUCUUGAAUUUGAUCGGAGUGGGCGGAAUGUGUAGUGUAGCGGUGAAAUGCAUAGAUAUUACACAGAACACCGAUAGCGAAGGCAGCUCACUAGGUUAUAAUUGACGCUCAUGGACGAAAGCGUGGGGAUCAAACAGGAUUAGAUACCCUGGUAGUCCACGCCGUAAAACGAUGAUUACUCGUUCUUGACAGCAAUGACAGGGGACCAAGCGAAAGUGAUAAGUAAUCCACCUGGGGAGUACGAUCGCAAGGUUG
rnacentral:rRNA from 1 species